CAGUAGCCACGGUAAUACAGAGGAUGCAAGCGUUAUCCGGAAUGAUUGGGCGUAAAGCGUCUGUAGGUGGCUUUUCAAGUCCGCCGUCAAAUCCCCGGGCUCAACCCUGGACAGGCAGUGGAAACUACCAGGCUGGAGUAAGGUAGGGGCAGAGGGAAUUUCUGGUGGAGCGGUGGAAUGUGUUGAGAUCAGAAAGAACAACAAUGGCUAAAGCACUCUGCUGGGCCGACAUUGACACUGAGAGACGAAAGCAAGGGGAGAAAAUUAGAUUAGAUACCCCUGUAGUCCCUGUCUCUUAUAA
rnacentral:rRNA from 1 species